rnacentral:piRNA from 1 species
UNCGCCCAUAGGUAGUCUUCCCCAAACCUG